UCACAACACUUCAGCCAAGUAUAUUGCGCCACCUCAGCACUCCGUUACACUCCUUCCCCUAUAUAUACACAUCAUCAUCACCCCCAUACAGCAGUCCCGUGUUUCUUCGGUUACUUGAAGCUAAAUUGCGCUGCUAACGAGCGCCUUUGCCGCCAUUGUUGUUAAUCAUCUUAGACCUUGUUUGUUUCUCUUAAAGAUCGUCUGGUUUUUGAAUCAAAAUGGCUGUGAAAGACAACUCUCGCUCUGAUCUCCAGAGAUCGAAGGAGUUUUCCUCCGUAGGUAAAAUCGGCGGGAAGAGAUUUUCAGAACGAGAAUUUGAUCGGAAACUGUACACCAAGCCGAAUCCGAAGGUGUGUGGUACGGAGAUCGAGACCGAUCAAGAAAGUGUUGGAUCGUCGAAAGAGAUGGAAUCGCCGAGGUCGGUGGCGAAGUUUGGGCAGUGGACUCCGAAGAAUGAUGUCUACGUGCAUAGCCAGAUCUUGAGGAUCAGAGAGGAGGAUUCUCACCUCGGUGAGGACUUCGGUGAGGUCUCGGGCUCUGCUCAUCAUCAUCACCUGGUUUCUUCGCAUAUGGAUGUCAUGAUUUUCUCGAGGCCGAUCUUACCUGCUUCGCCUCUCAGCGGCAAAACGUCACACUGAUCCAAUCAAGGAGGAUUGGCAUCAGAAUUUUAAAUCGGGCAUGUGCAAAACACUGAAGUUGGAGUGAAUUUGGUGGGUUAGGUUAGGAUUCUCAAGUGUUCAGCUUCCUUCCUGCUUAGGAGUAUCUACUGUACAGUUAGGAAGAACAAUAGAGGAUCUCACGCAGUCCCUACCUAAUGUGAAAUCACAAAUUAGGCCCUCUUUUUUGUUCUUUUAUGAAGGGAAUUACAAUUUACACUCCUCUUUUUCAUAGUUAUACUAAAUUUUGUCAUUUAA